CACAACAACACUGUCCUUCUAGGCUCUGGUCCUGAGUGUGAGAAGGGAACUUUACUGAAGACCGAGGGUAAGAAGGAGACACGGGGGUUGAAAUACGUCCUUCAGCGAGUUCCAGGGAGAAGGGGAAAUGGUUUUGGGGUGGUUGGCACUGGUCCCAUUGUUUGGCUAGAGUCAAGGACAAUCACUUUCUCUCUUCCACUUCUCCCUCUCCUCCCUCUCCUCAUUCUCCUCACUCUCUCUUCCUCUUCUCCCUCUCUCUUCCCCUUCUCCCUCUCCUCACUCUCUUCCUCUCUCUCUCUUCCUCUUCUCCCUCCAGUUGAAAAGUCCUCUUCCUCACCUCACCUCACCUCACUCUCUCCUCCUCUCCUCUUCUGUCUCUCACUCCUGUCGCUCUCUCUCUCUCCUGUCUCUCCCUCUCUUACUCCUGUCGCUCUCUCUCUCUCCUGUCUCUCCCUCUCUUCUCUCUCUUCUGUCUCUCUCUCUUCUGUCUCUCUCUCUUUUGUCUCUCUCUCUUCUGUCUCAGUUCAUGUCGAUGGUGUUGAAAACCCACUCUGUGAACUUCUUGAGUUUGGCAGCAGAGCUCUCUUCCUCUUCUCCCUCCAGUUGAAAAGUCCUCUUCCUCACCUCACCUCACUCUCUCCUCCUCUCUCUCUUCUGUCUCUCUCUCUCUUCUGUCUCCCCUCUCUUCUGCCUCAGUUCAUGUCGAUGGUGUUGAAAACCCACUCUGUGAACUUCUUGAGUUUGGCAGCAGAGCUCUGGGACUCCUCCUGCAGCCGCUGGUUAUCUUCCCAUAGCAUCUUGAUCUGUAGAUGGAGACGCUGCUUCUCCUCACGCUCCUAUAGGGAGGGAAGGAAAGGAGAGGGAGGAGGGAGGGAGGGAAGGAUGGAGAGGGAGGGAAGGAAGGAAAGGAGGAGGAGGGAGGGAAGGAAGGAAAGGAGGAGGAGGGAGGGAAGGAUGGAGAGGGAGGAGGAGAGAGGGAAGGAAAGGAGAGGGAGGGAAGGAAAGGGAGGGAGGGAAGGAAAGGGAGGAGGAGGGAGGGAAGGAAGGAAAGGAGGAGGGAGGGAAGGAAGGAAAGGGAGGAGGAGGGAGGGAAGGAUGGAAAGGGAGGAGGAGGGAGGGAAGGAUGGAGAGGGAGGAGGAGGGAGGGAAGGAAGGAAGGAAAGGAGGAGGGAGGGAAGGAAAGGAGAGGGAGGAGAAGAGAGGGAGGAGGAGGGAGGGAAGGAAGGGGAGGGAGGGAGGGAAAGGAAAGGAGAGGGAGGAGGAGGGAAGGAAGGAAAGGAGAAGGAGAGAGGGAAGGAAAGGAGAAGGAGAGAGGGAAGGAAAGGAGAAGGAGAGAGGGAAGGAAAGGAGAAGGAGUGA
rnacentral:lncRNA from 1 species